UAGCAAUUGGAGGCAUUGCCUGCCAGUGACAACUGUUUAACGGCCGCGGUAUCCUGACCGUGCAAAGGUAGCAUAAUCAUUUGUUCUCUAAAUAAGGACUUGUAUGAAUGGCCGCACGAGGGUUUUACUGUCUCUUACUUCCAAUCAGUGAAAUUGACCUUCCCGUGAAGAGGCGGGAAUGCACAAAUAAGACGAGAAGACCCUAUGGAGCUUUAACUAACCAACCCAAAGAGAAUAGAUUUAACCAUUAAGGAAUAACAACAAUCUCCAUGAGUUGGUAGUUUCGGUUGGGGUGACCUCGGAGAAUAAAAAAUCCUCCGAGCGAUUUUAAAGACUAGACCCACAAGUCAAAUCACUCUAUCGCUCAUUGAUCCAAAAACUUGAUCAACGGAACAAGUUACCCUAGGGAUAACAGCGCAAUCCUAUUCAAGAGUCCAUAUCCACAAUAGGGUUUACGACCUCCAUGUUGGAUCAGGACAUCCUGAUGGUGCAACCGCUAUCAAAGGUUCGUUUGUUCAACGAUUAAAGUCCUACCUGAUCUGAGUUCAGACCGGACGGA
rnacentral:rRNA from 1 species